AUACCUUUCUCGGCCUUUUGGCUAAGAUCAAGUGUAGUAUCUGUUCUUAUCAGUUUAAUAUCUGAUAUGUGAGUUAUUAACUCACACGAUAUUAACUCUAUUUUUUGAAGGGGAAGAGUCCAUUAAGGUAGCUUGCUAUCGGGGCCUUCAAGCGUUGCCUUGGUGUUGCACUAUUGCCUUGGCCUGGCGCACCCUAA